UUUAAUAACAAUCGAUGUGUUGCUUUUGUUAGUAAUACAACGGAAUUGAGUUAUCUUAACAUUUUGGUUUAAGAGGCUUAAAAUUAAUUUAAUUUUGUAUUUAAAACGUAUUUAGAAUUUUCUAUGCGUUUCGGAUGCAAGAAUUUUAUUAGGUAUGAUCAUUUUCAUGAUAUCAUACUCAUAAUUUUUUCAAC
rnacentral:misc_RNA from 1 species